rnacentral:rRNA from 1 species
GACAUAUUCCGGUUGAUCCUGCCGGAGGCCAUUGCUAUCGGAGUCCGAUUUAGCCAUGCUAGUUGCACGAGUUUAGACUCGUAGCAUAUAGCUCAGUAACACGUGGCCAAACUACCCUACAGACCGCGAUAACCUCGGGAAACUGAGGCCAAUAGCGGAUAUAACUCUCAGACUGGAGCGUCGAGAGUUAGAAACGUUCCGGCGCUGUAGGAUGUGGCUGCGGCCGAUUAGGUAGAUGGUGGGGUAACGGCCCACCAUGCCGAUAAUCGGUACAGGUUGUGAGAGCAAGAGCCUGGAGACGGUAUCUGAGACAAGAUACCGGGCCCUACGGGGCGCAGCAGGCGCGAAACCUUUACACUGCACGACAGUGCGAUAGGGGGACUCCGAGUGUGAGGGCAUAUAGCCCUCGCUUUUCUGUACCGUAAGGUGGUACCGGAACAAGGACUGGGCAAGACCGGUGCCAGCCGCCGCGGUAAUACCGGCAGUCCAAGUGAUGGCCGAUAUUAUUGGGCCUAA